rnacentral:lncRNA from 11 species
UUUCACUGCCAUGCUUCCAUCCAAUGGAAUUCUGAGACUCUGGCUGAGAAUUCUAAAUGCUUCUCCCUAAACUACAGAUCCCAGGAUUACACAGAGUGGAGCUAAAGUGGAUUAAUCACACAACAAUUGACAAUAUGAAGCUUAUACAUCUCAGAGAUUAAACCAGGACAUGUGUGGCCAAGCAAAAUCAGAGUGUGGUGAGAUUGGCAAAAGUUAUCAAUGAGGAAGAAUACACAAGCAAGGGAAGUCUGCUACAGUUUGCUUUUGACCAUGUCUUCUAGAAAAGAUUUAUCGCACAAGCAAGUACAGGCAGACCCCAUUUCUCUCCAUGGACUCUUCUGCUCUACCUCCCAAUGCCCCUACUCCCAAGGAGCCAGGAGACAUCAUUCUUCACACUUGUAAAACACUUUCCUAACAAAGCGUAAUGGAUGCAAGGGGGAUUAUGUGAUGGACUCCAUUGUACUUCGUUUCCAUAAUGUUUUUAAAGUGUUUAGAAAUUGGGGGGGGGUGCAGGGGGCUGUGUGGGAUAAUGUCCUCUGUCUGCAUUGAGAUCCCUCUCAACCAUUUUAAAUGACAACAGAAUUAAGAUCCAAGACAAAAUAUUGACCUGUGACUUCGGCACCUUCACUUUUCUUUUCUGUGGGUUUUAACAUCUUUGCCUGAUGAAGAACCGAGUGAAGCUUUGACAGCUUGCGUA